rnacentral:rRNA from 1 species
GUCUACAGUCAUACAACCCUGAACAUGCCCGAUCAUGACUGAUCUUGCAAACUACGCAGGGUUGGGCCUUGUUAGUACUUGGGUGGGAGUAAGUC